GACGAACGCUGGCGGCGUGCUUAACACAUGCAAGUCGAACGGAAAGGCCCUGCUUUUGUGGGGUGCUCGAGUGGCGAACGGGUGAGUAACACGUGAGUAACCUGCCCUUGACUUUGGGAUAACUUCAGGAAACUGGGGCUAAUACCGGAUAGGAGCUCCUGCUGCAUGGUGGGGGUUGGAAAGUUUCGGCGGUUGGGGAUGGACUGGCGGCUUAUCAGCUUGUUGGUGGGGUAGUGGCUUACCAAGGCUUUGACGGGUAGCCGGCCUGGGAGGGUGACCGGCGUCAUGGGGACUGAGGUAGGGCCCAGAAGGCUACGGGACGCAGAAGGGGGGAAUAUUGCAGAAUGGGCGGAAGCCUGAUGCAGCAAUGCCGGGUGCGGGAUGACGGCCUUCGGGUUGUAAACCGCUUUCGCCUGUGCUGAAGAGUGAGUGACGGUAAUGGGUAAAGAAGCAACGGCUAACUACGUG
rnacentral:rRNA from 1 species